UCCCGGGUAGUGAAGUGGCAUCAUUACAGGUUCUGACCCUGUCAUCCUAGGUUCGAAUCCUAGCCCGGGAU
rnacentral:tRNA from 3 species